rnacentral:ncRNA from 2 species
GUGGUGGAGGGAUUGGCCCUUUGAAACCACAGCAACCGAUCCCUGAGCCGUUUCCACGGUAUUGGGAUGCCAGGUGCUAAUUCCAACCCCCUUUUGGGGGAAAGAUGAGAC